GCCAGUGCGGGUGCUAUACAUGCGUCGAGCGGACAGAAGGGAGCUUGCUCCCGGAUGUUAGCGGCGGACGGGUGAGUAACACGUGGGUAACCUGCCUGUAAGACUGGGAUAACUCCGGGAAACCGGAGCUAAUACCGGAUAGUUCCUUGAACCGCAUGGUUCAAGGAUGAAAGACGGUUUCGGCUGUCACUUACAGAUGGACCCGCGGCGCAUUAGCUAGUUGGUGAGGUAACGGCUCACCAAGGCGACGAGCGUAGCCGACCUGAGAGGGUGAUCGGCCACACUGGGACUGAGACACGGCCCAGACUCCUACGGGAGGCAGCAGUAGGGAAUCUUCCGCAAUGGACGAAAGUCUGACGGAGCAACGCCGCGUGAGUGAUGAAGGUUUUCGGAUCGUAAAGCUCUGUUGUUAGGGAAGAACAAGUGCAAGAGUAACUGCUUGCACCUUGACGGUACCUAACCAGAAAGCCACGGCUAACUACGUGCCAGCAGCCGCGGUAAUACGUAGGUGGCAAGCGUUGUCCGGAAUUAUUGGGCGUAAAGGGCUCGCAGGCGGUUUCUUAAGUCUGAUGUGAAAGCCCCCGGCUCAACCGGGGAGGGUCAUUGGAAACUGGGAAACUUGAGUGCAGAAGAGGAGAGUGGAAUUCCACGUGUAGCGGUGAAAUGCGUAGAGAUGUGGAGGAACACCAGUGGCGAAGGCGACUCUCUGGUCUGUAACUGACGCUGAGGAGCGAAAGCGUGGGGAGCGAACAGGAUUAGAUACCCUGGUAGUCCACGCCGUAAACGAUGAGUGCUAAGUGUUAGGGGGUUUCCGCCCCUUAGUGCUGCAGCUAACGCAUUAAGCACUCCGCCUGGGGAGUACGGUCGCAAGACUGAAACUCAAAGGAAUUGACGGGGGCCCGCACAAGCGGUGGAGCAUGUGGUUUAAUUCGAA
rnacentral:rRNA from 1 species